AGCGGGAAGAGCUCAAAUUUGAAAUCUGGUGGCCUCAGGUCAUCCGAGUUGUAAUCUAUAGAAAUGUUUUCCGUGCUGGCUCAUGUACAAGUCCCUUGGAACAGGGCGUCAUAGAGGGUGAGAAUCCCGUCCUUGACAUGAACUACCAGUGCUCUGUGAUACAUUUUCAACGAGUCGAGUUGUUUGGGAAUGCAGCUCAAAAUGGGUGGUAAAUUCCAUCUAAAGCUAAAUAUUGGCGAGAGACCGAUAGCGAACAAGUACCGUGAGGGAAAGAUGAAAAGCACUUUGGAAAGAGAGUUAAACAGUAUGUGAAAUUGUUAAAAGGGAAACGAUUGAAGUCAGUCGUGCUCUUUGGAUUCAGCCGGUUCUGCCGGUGUACUUCCUUUGAGUGGGGUCAACAUCAGUUUUGAUCGCUGGAUAAAGGCUGGAGGAACGUAGCACCCUCGGGUGAACUUAUAGCCUCCUGUCACAUACAGUGGUUGGGACUGAGGAACGCAGCACGCCUUUAUGGCCGGGAUUCGUCCACGUACGUGCUUAGGAUGUUGACAUAAUGGCUUUAAACGACCCGUCUU
rnacentral:rRNA from 1 species